UCAGAUCAGGAAUCAGCCUAAGCUCCUUUAGCUCCCUCAGAGGCCUGCCCUGCUUUAUGCAUCUUCGACUUGAAACUUCCAGUUGUAAGAGAAAUAUGUUCUGCGGAUGUAAUGCACGACACGAGCUGGAAAGAAGACACCAUAUAGACCUAUAGCCUACCUUACUUGACAAACAUCACCAGAUUCUCUCAGGCAGACCCAGGAAGCGUGGCCAGCAAUGAGGAAUUCGGGAGAAGCCGAAGUCUAAGGAAUGACUCCAGGCAGAUUGCAAGUUUGGUGGAAGUGCCGUGUUUUCCAGUAAUUGUUCUAUGGACUCAAUCCUAAGAUGUGUGUGAUGUCAUUACUUUCCCUUACAGACAAGGACAUUAAGACAGAGAAUUUUGGAAAAUUCUCCAAAGUCGUUCAGCUAAUAUAUGGAAGACCCUAGCUGUGCUUCAGGCAGUCCAGCUCUUGAACCCACUCUUAAAGGCCGUGCUAAAUUGUUCCAUUUCAGGACACCCGGGAGGCUCAGAGGUUGAGAGUCUGCCUUCGGCCCAGGGUGUGACCCCAGGUCCUGGGAUCGAGUCCCACAUCGAUCUGUGCCUGUGUCUCUGCCUCUCUGUGUGUGUCUCUCAUG